AAGGCGCUGGUUUUAGGCACCAGCCAUUUCGAUGGCGUGGGUUCGAAUCCCACCCGCUGCC
rnacentral:tRNA from 1 species